rnacentral:misc_RNA from 1 species
UUAAGAGUAGCUACGCCGCGA